AAUGAGGGAGGAAAGGGACAGCGGAAGGACAUCGCAUCUCCACAGUGUUCCCAAGAUAGUUUGUUAAUUUCAGGAAAAAGCCCCAUGCGUUUCUGUGCGGAAUAAAUUCUUGGCUGUGAGGGUAGUGAGGCCCUGGCGCAGGUUGCCCAGAGAAGCUGCGGCUGCCCCGUCCCUGGUGGUGCCCAAGGCCAGGCUUGGAGCAGCCUGGUCUGGGGGAAGGUGUCCCUGCCCAUGGCAAGGGGUGGAACGAGAUAAUCUUUAAAGUGCCAAUGCAAAACUGUUCUAUGAUUCUACAAGAGAGCAACACUGAUAGUGCAUUUGCAUAUUAACAGUCACGUACACACUACAGGAGCGUGUACAAGGUGUCUCCAGCCUGGAGCUGUGUGCCUCAGAGAGGCCCCACUCAGAGGGAGGUGCUGGUCUCAGCCCACUGCAGUCUGGAGAGCUCCGAGGGUCCAAAAUACCACUACUCAGAGAGUCACAACAGACUGCACUUAGCUCAUAGCAGUUUUCCAGCCUGGCUGCAUUUCAGGAGAGUGGUGCAGAAUAACUGUUUAAACACAGAUGAACACUGGCCAAAAUAACUGACCUCUACUGAAGUGGUUA